GGACGAACCCUUGGAGAGAUCCACUCCGCGAGUGCGGAAAAUGGACGCCGAAGGCGCAAGCGUAGUUAUCUGCGUGAAACGCUCAGGCAAAAGGACAGGGGAGAAAAG
rnacentral:ncRNA from 2 species